CGGUCCGCGUCCCACGCCAACGCGCCCUCUUGUGUGGGUGGUACCUCCGCCCUCUCUCGGAUUACGCGUACGGUACUGUCCGUUCUACCCUCCGGCUCCCUCACGAAUUCUGUGCGGUCUCCCUGAUCAACCCCUCCGACGUCGAGAUGGCGCAAAUUAGUAACGGACCGCCGAUCCGUCAAGUUUUCGUAACAAUAUAUAUUUUUUAGGCCUUGUUGUGCUCCAAAAAACAAUGCUGGAAUUGAAACAUCAUCAAAAGUCCUCCAACCGUAAGCCCCUGUUAUCCGCCAGUAUACAAUUCUGGCACUGCGCCAACAUCGAAAGUUCUCCAACCCUAAGUCUCCGUUGUCCUCCAGGAUACAAUUUUGGCACUGCGACAAUAUCAAAAGUCAUCCAACCGUAAGUCCUCGUUGACCUCCUGCAUACAAUUCUGGCAUUGCGACAACAUCGAAAGUCCUCCUACCGUAAGCCCCUGUUGUCCCCCAGCAUACAAUUCUAGCACUGCAACAACGUCGAAAGUCCUCCAACCGUAAGUGCGGGGGACGAAGAAACACAAGAAGAAUAUAAACAUAACCUCAAAGGUUGUUAGUGGAAAUAUAUGGUAAAAAAUGUGAGUCAGAGAAGUAAAAGAGACUAACAGUUUAAAUAAUGUUUUGGUGAGAAGGCAGACACAGUCCAAUGCUCCAUAGUAAAUUGCCUUCCAAACAAAUAAUAAGUAUAUUCACAUCAGCUAAAGAUUCAAAUAAUCCUACUCCAAGCUUACAGUUAUAGAAACUGAACAGAGAAUAAACCAAAUUAAGAAAUUAUUUACUGUGAACCUCCAAUUGAAGCCAAAUUUAUUAUUUUAUAUUUUUUGGGGACAAUGACUGAAGAAGCAUUGACAAAACAAUGAUUAGAUAUUUCAUGCUGCCCACCAGUAACCAGGCUAUUAAAGGUUAAAGGAAAAACCAGCCGUACACCACUACCUGGAUCCUUCCAAACCCUCGGGCGCCGACUGUCACUCAUGAAACUAAACUUGGACUGGUCUGAAAAAAUGACAUUCCCCCACUGCGGUAAAAGCCAAUUUACGUGCUUUUAAGCCCAUUCUAGACUGUGUAACUUCCAAGUUGAGGAGAGUCAGAUGUAGUGAAACCAGAUUUAUUAGUCGUUUGUACCUUCCUGUAUAUUAAACUGUAAUUAUCUGUUGAUAUACCGCACGGUAUAUAUAACUUGUCUCAACUGUCGUCGGAGCAACCACGUGGAUUGUCGGUGUUUUUGUCUACUGUAUGCUACAUUUGUACUGGUCAUGUUUGCAACUAAGGAAAACCAAGGGUCACCUGUUAGUGCAUGAAAAUAGUGACUAAGAGUCGUGUUUUCAUCGAACCCAGCCCAUCUGAAAAUGCCCAGGCGUCCUAAAUUAGGAAUACGGAGAGAUUGGCAAAGAUAUAUCUAUCAAGCUGGAGGUUUUGAAAAAGAAUUUCUACAAAGUGAAUUAUUGAAGUCGUGGACGAUAGAGCAAAGGAGAAGAGAAAGAACUACAUCCAAAAGAAAGAUGAUUCAACUAUAUAUAUAACAGUUAGACGUUUCCGGUCGGGGUAUGAUAACAAGCUCCUUCGAAAUUUAAUAAGCCAAUGGUGAUAAGAAUAUUGUGGUGUGACGUCUUGUUAUACAUUGUAUUAAUUGAAGAAAUACUAAGAACAACCAGUGUCCAGAAGAAUAUAUCAGUGUCUCUCAGAAUGUUAUAGUCUUCUCAUGAUAAAUGAAUAAUUAAAUUGACAUACAUACAAAGUGAAUCUGAUACGAAAGAAGUUAAACUUAAGGGUCAUCGUCGCAAGAAGAUUGAGGUGUGAACCCUUUUUAAACAUUGUAUUAAAUGAAGAAAUACUAAGAACAACCAGUAUCCAGAAGAAUAUAUGAGUAUCUGUGUACCAGAAAAUGAAAAUUUCGCACCAUAACUGACAUUUAAAAUAAUUGAAAUUAUGUAUGUUAUUUAAAACCGACAAUAUUUUAAGUAACAAGCAUAAAAUAAUAAUUUCUGUUAAAUUUCUAUUAAAAUUUAUAUUUUAUUGGGUAUAUUAUAGGUAUAUAAUUUGUUGUCAAAAAAAGGUUUAUAACCUGCUACUCCACAAACAUUAGGGUUGUUAAUUUGACAAUUAUUUCAUGUAUCCACCAGAAACAAGGUGUUUUUGUUCGCUGAUAUGAGUCCAUUAUUACCAGUUCUUCCUAAACUGGAAGUAAUUCUUUCAUAAUUCAAACAUUUUUACCACCAAUUACACAAAUUUUCUUCUUCAACUUCUUUUUCUGUUUCAUUUUGUGUUUGUCCCGAACAAUACUAAUCUUAACUAGCAUUAGCUGAAGUUGAAGGUAUCUUUCAUAAUGUGGGAUUUCCUUUAUUCCCUCCAUCGUCACCUUAAAUAUUUAAUGUUCUAUCUUUUGAUGUGGUUAAACAGACGUGUUGCCGUAGUUUACUUGUAUCACUAUAAAUUGGACAUCUAAGUUUUAAAUUUAUAAAUUUAUAUAAAUUUUACGAGAGAAUUCUAUUACUGUAUAAGUUCCCAUGAUUAUUUAUGUGCUCCCAUUAGUUGUAAUAAUCUGAAAGUUAAUGGAAACACAACAUUUGACCCUUGUGUUGCCAAGAUUUUGA